CAGGCUUAACACAUGCAAGUCGAGGGGCAGCAUCAUCAAAGCUUGCUUUGAUGGAUGGCGACCGGCGCACGGGUGAGUAACACGUAUCCAACCUGCCGACAACACUGGGAUAGCCUUUCGAAAGAAAGAUUAAUACCGGAUGGUAUAGUUUUCCCGCAUGGGAUAAUUAUUAAAGAAUUUCGGUUGUCGAUGGGGAUGCGUUCCAUUAGGCAGUUGGCGGGGUAACGGCCCACCAAACCUACGAUGGAUAGGGGUUCUGAGAGGAAGGUCCCCCACAUUGGAACUGAGACACGGUCCAAACUCCUACGGGAGGCAGCAGUGAGGAAUAUUGGUCAAUGGACGAGAGUCUGAACCAGCCAAGUAGCGUGAAGGAUGACUGCCCUAUGGGUUGUAAACUUCUUUUAUACGGGAAUAAAGUUAGCCACGUGUGGUUUUUUUGUAUGUACCGUAUGAAUAAGGAUCGGCUAACUCCGUGCCAGCAGCCGCGGUAAUACGGAGGAUCCGAGCGUUAUCCGGAUUUAUUGGGUUUAAAGGGAGCGUAGGCGGGUUGUUAAGUCAGUUGUGAAAGUUUGCGGCUCAACCGUAAAAUUGCAGUUGAUACUGGCGACCUUGAGUGCAACAGAGGUAGGCGGAAUUCGUGGUGUAGCGGUGAAAUGCUUAGAUAUCACGAAGAACUCCGAUUGCGAAGGCAGCUUACUGGAUUGUAACUGACGCUGAUGCUCGAAAGUGUGGGUAUCAAACAGGAUUAGAUACCCUGGUAGUCCACACAGUAAACGAUGAAUACUCGCUGUUGGCGAUAUACAGUCAGCGGCCAAGCGAAAGCAUUAAGUAUUCCACCUGGGGAGUACGCCGGCAACGGUGAAACUCAAAGGAAUUGACGGGGGCCCGCACAAGCGGAGGAACAUGUGGUUUAAUUCGAUGAUACGCGAGGAACCUUACCCGGGCUUAAAUUGCAACUGACGGAACCGGAAACGGUUCUUUCUUCGGACAGUUGUGAAGGUGCUGCAUGGUUGUCGUCAGCUCGUGCCGUGAGGUGUCGGCUUAAGUGCCAUAACGAGCGCAACCCUUACGGGUAGUUACCAUCAGGUUAUGCUGGGGACUCUACCCGGACUGCCGUCGUAAGAUGUGAGGAAGGUGGGGAUGACGUCAAAUCAGCACGGCCCUUACGUCCGGGGCUACACACGUGUUACAAUGGGGGGUACAGAAGGCAGCUACACGGCGACGUGGUGCUAAUCCCAAAAGCCUCUCUCAGUUCGGAUUGGAGUCUGCAACCCGACUCCAUGAAGCUGGAUUCGCUAGUAAUCGCGCAUCAGCCACGGCGCGGUGAAUACGUUCCCGGGCCUUGUACACACCGCCCGUCAAGCCAUGAAAGCCGGGGGUACCUGAAGUACGUAACAAGGGAGGAGCGUCCUAGGGUAAAACUGGUGA
rnacentral:rRNA from 1 species